rnacentral:rRNA from 1 species
UACGUAGGGUGCGAGCGUUAAUCGGAAUUACUGGGCGUAAAGUGUGCGCAGGCGGCGUUGCAAGUCGAGUUGUGAAAUCCCCGAGCUUAACUUGGGAAUUGCGCUCGAAACUACGAUGCUCGAGUGUGGCAGAGGAAGGUGGAAUUCCACGUGUAGCGGUGAAAUGCGUAGAGAUGUGGAGGAACACCGAUGGCGAAGGCAGCCUUCUGGGCCAACACUGACGCUCAUGCACGAAAGCGUGGGGAGCAAACAGG